ensembl:lncRNA
UGUGCUUUUGCUUGAAAAGAGGAGAUGUGACGUCUCACAGGAGGCCAACCGUAAAAGUCUGCAAACGUGUCCCUCACAGCCAUCUUAUAGGCCUACACCUUUUCUCUCACAGUGACUCAACAGUCUGGCGCUGCUCAACGUUUCCUUCACCCUCUAGGGAGGGUCCGCAAGGAGGUGACGGGUCCGUAACCCGACAUAGUGGCAUGUCGAUCUCAUGGGAAAUAUUUCGGACCAUUGAGACCUCGGAACAACGAGGCGUCGGAAUUACGGCAUGGCACCCCACAGCUUCCAGGAACCAUGAGUGAUUAUACAGUGCGGCAAAUUCUUAAGAAUCGGAGUCUAUUUGAGAUUAAUCCCGCAGCAUGUGACCAGGUUCCUGUGGAAAGCUUCAUCUGCUCUGAAACGCCCGCGUCCGUCGGUCAGAUCUCGAUCCCAGACCAGUUCGAGCAAUUCUUUCCCUUACGAUUGGCCCUGUCAUACGUUUUUCUGUCUCGUUAAAUAAAUAGCUGUAGCAUUGUAAGGCGCAUAGUGGUCUGGUAAUGGUAUAAAAAAUAUAUUAAAUAGCCUAAUGGUUAAAUCAAUUCUUUAGUUAACAAGAACUCCCUUACUGUAGUGAACACAUUAGCGAAUAUUAACACAAUUAGUCAGACUGACCGCAGCAGGUGAAGAGGCUGUACCAUCUACACCUCUGACUUCAGUUUCAACUCUGGAACCUGCCAUCUCCAGAAAUUCUCAGAUGACUCCUCCAUCGUGGGCUGCAUCAGUGAGGACAGGGAGGACGAGUACAGAGGUGUGGUGGAGGACUUCGUCAGAUGGUCUGAGGAGAACCACCUCCAACUCAACAUCGGCAAGACCAAGGAGAUGGUGGUGGACUUCCGCCGGAAGAGGAACCCCCCAACCUCUAUUACCAUCCAGGGGAUUGAAAUUGAGACGGUGGACUCGUAUAAGUUCCUUGGAGUACACAUCAUCAAUAAACUGGACUUGUCUGACAACAAAGAGACCCUCUACCGGAAGAGUCAGAGCAGACUCUUCCUCAGGAGGCUCAGGUCGUUUGACGUGUGUGGCAGGCUGCUAAGGACAUUUUAUCUGUCUGUGGCAGCACUCUGUUCUUCGCUGGGGCGUGCUGGGGAGGAAGCAUCAAGGCUGGGGAGUCAAACAGACUCAACAAGCUGGUUAGGAAAGCCAGCUCUAUUGUCGGACUUGAGCUGGACAGUGUGGAGGUGGUGGUGGAGAGGAGGAUGAGGGACAAAUUCAAGUCCAUCCUGUGGCAGAAGAGGAGCCCCUACAGCCACAGGUUCAUGUUCCCCAGGUGCAAGACGGAGCGCUUCAGGUGCUCCGUCUUGUGCUGGCAGCCAUUAGGCUGUUCAACAGUGCCUGAUGAUUGUUUGUGUGCGUCUAUGUGUUUGCAUAUGCAUGUGUGUGUGUUUAGGUAUACGUAUAUAUGUGUAUAUGGAUCACCCAUCAUGAUGUUGGUUCUGUUUGUCUUGUUUUUGUCACUAUUUCAACUAUAAGCGUCUACGUAUGCAAUAGCACUUCGUAUUUAUUGUAUUCAUUGCAUUGUCAUUUUAUUCUGUGUCCUUCCACUGCUGCUGGGCUGUUUUUGCAACGAACACAUUUCUCCUAAGGGGGAUUAAUAAAGUUGUGUCUUAUCUUAAGUAGCUGGUCUUUAACAGUAAACCAUACCAUUCCGCGUUCAAGUUCAAGUUUAUUGUCCCUAAAAGGGAAAUUGUUUUGUAGCCAGG